CCGGCGGCAGAAGAAGGAGGUGAAGGAGCAGCACGUGAAGGAGGUGCUCGGCCAGUGCACCCACAUCCACCAGAGGCGCGAGGAGAUGGCCGACAAGAUCCAGAAGAUCUCCGGCCAGACGCAGCAGCUGAGGGCCGAGAUCAAGAGCCUGAGGGACGUCUGCGGCGAGGAGACGGAGAAAGCCCAGGCCAUCUACAACACCCUGUCCGCUGCCGUGGACAAGCUCCACCAGCGCAUCCAGGCUCACUCCAGAGACCUGAAGCUCGCCGCCGCCAAGAUGUCUGCAAACAUCUGAGCCUGUUUACUGUUCUCAUAUCUUCUCACUUUCACAGCCUGAUCAGACCAGGGGGGUUCCACAGUCUGACAGCUCAUCUGUUUAAUGCUGUUUUGUCUUCUGUUUAAUGAU